UACGGAGGGUGCAAGCGUUAUCCGGAUUCACUGGGUUUAAAGGGUGUGUAGGCGGGCUAUUAAGUCAGUGGUGAAAUCUCCGGGCUCAACCCGGAAACUGCCAUUGAUACUAUUAGUCUUGAAUAUCGUUGAGGUAGGCGGAAUAUAUCAUGUAGCGGUGAAAUGCAUAGAUAUGAUAUAGAACACCGAUUGCGAAGGCAGCUUGCUAAACGAUUAUUGACGCUGAGGCACGAAAGCGUGGGGAUCAAACAGG
rnacentral:rRNA from 1 species